rnacentral:rRNA from 1 species
GACGAAGGAUGCAAGCGUUAUCCGGAUUCAUUGGGUUUAAAGGGAGCGUAGGCGGCCUUGUAAGUCAGUGGUGAAAUCUUUCCGCUUAACGGAAAAACUGCCAUUGAUACUGCUUGGCUUGAGUACAGAUGCUGUGGGCGGAAUAUGACAUGUAGUGGUGAAAUUCGUAGAUAUUCGCAAGAACACCAGUGGCGAAGGCGGCUCACUGGCCCGGUACUGACGCUGAGGUGCGAAAGCGUGGGGAGCAAACAGG